GGUUAAGCGACUAAGCGUACACGGUGGAUGCCCUGGCAGUCAGAGGCGAUGAAGGACGUGCUAAUCUGCGAUAAGCGUCGGUGAGGUGAUAUGAACCGUUAUAACCGGCGAUUUCCGAAUGGGGAAACCCAGUGUGAUUCGUCACACUAUCAUUAACUGAAUCCAUAGGUUAAUGAGGCGAACCGGGGGAACUGAAACAUCUAAGUACCCCGAGGAAAAGAAAUCAACCGAGAUUCCCCCAGUAGCGGCGAGCGAACGGGGAGGAGCCCAGAGCCUGAAUCAGUGUGUGUGUUAGUGGAAGCGUCUGGAAAGGCGCGCGAUACAGGGUGACAGCCCCGUACACAAAAAUGCACAUACUGUGAGCUCGAUGAGUAGGGCGGGACACGUGGUAUCCUGUCUGAAUAUGGGGGGACCAUCCUCCAAGGCUAAAUACUCCUGACUGACCGAUAGUGAACCAGUACCGUGAGGGAAAGGCGAAAAGAACCCCGGCGAGGGGAGUGAAAAAGAACCUGAAACCGUGUACGUACAAGCAGUGGGAGCCUCUUAAUGGGGUGACUGCGUACCUUUUGUAUAAUGGGUCAGCGACUUAUAUUCUGUAGCAAGGUUAACCGAAUAGGGGAGCCGAAGGGAAACCGAGUCUUAACUGGGCGUUAAGUUGCAGGGUAUAGACCCGAAACCCGGUGAUCUAGCCAUGGGCAGGUUGAAGGUUGGGUAACACUAACUGGAGGACCGAACCGACUAAUGUUGAAAAAUUAGCGGAUGACUUGUGGCUGGGGGUGAAAGGCCAAUCAAACCGGGAGAUAGCUGGUUCUCCCCGAAAGCUAUUUAGGUAGCGCCUCGUGAAUUCAUCUCCGGGGGUAGAGCACUGUUUCGGCAAGGGGGUCAUCCCGACUUACCAACCCGAUGCAAACUGCGAAUACCGGAGAAUGUUAUCACGGGAGACACACGGCGGGUGCUAACGUCCGUCGUGAAGAGGGAAACAACCCAGACCGCCAGCUAAGGUCCCAAAGUCAUGGUUAAGUGGGAAACGAUGUGGGAAGGCCCAGACAGCCAGGAUGUUGGCUUAGAAGCAGCCAUCAUUUAAAGAAAGCGUAAUAGCUCACUGGUCGAGUCGGCCUGCGCGGAAGAUGUAACGGGGCUAAACCAUGCACCGAAGCUGCGGCAGCGACACUAUGUGUUGUUGGGUAGGGGAGCGUUCUGUAAGCCUGUGAAGGUGGCCUGUGAGGGUUGCUGGAGGUAUCAGAAGUGCGAAUGCUGACAUAAGUAACGAUAAAGCGGGUGAAAAGCCCGCUCGCCGGAAGACCAAGGGUUCCUGUCCAACGUUAAUCGGGGCAGGGUGAGUCGACCCCUAAGGCGAGGCCGAAAGGCGUAGUCGAUGGGAAACAGGUUAAUAUUCCUGUACUUGGUGUUACUGCGAAGGGGGGACGGAGAAGGCUAUGUUGGCCGGGCGACGGUUGUCCCGGUUUAAGCGUGUAGGCUGGUUUUCCAGGCAAAUCCGGAAAACCAAGGCUGAGGCGUGAUGACGAGGCACUACGGUGCUGAAGCAACAAAUGCCCUGCUUCCAGGAAAAGCCUCUAAGCAUCAGGUAACAUCAAAUCGUACCCCAAACCGACACAGGUGGUCAGGUAGAGAAUACCAAGGCGCUUGAGAGAACUCGGGUGAAGGAACUAGGCAAAAUGGUGCCGUAACUUCGGGAGAAGGCACGCUGAUAUGUAGGUGAAGCGACUUGCUCGUGGAGCUGAAAUCAGUCGAAGAUACCAGCUGGCUGCAACUGUUUAUUAAAAACACAGCACUGUGCAAACACGAAAGUGGACGUAUACGGUGUGACGCCUGCCCGGUGCCGGAAGGUUAAUUGAUGGGGUUAGCGGCAACGCGAAGCUCUUGAUCGAAGCCCCGGUAAACGGCGGCCGUAACUAUAACGGUCCUAAGGUAGCGAAAUUCCUUGUCGGGUAAGUUCCGACCUGCACGAAUGGCGUAAUGAUGGCCAGGCUGUCUCCACCCGAGACUCAGUGAAAUUGAACUCGCUGUGAAGAUGCAGUGUACCCGCGGCAAGACGGAAAGACCCCGUGAACCUUUACUAUAGCUUGACACUGAACAUUGAGCCUUGAUGUGUAGGAUAGGUGGGAGGCUUUGAAGUGUGGACGCCAGUCUGCAUGGAGCCGACCUUGAAAUACCACCCUUUAAUGUUUGAUGUUCUAACGUGGGCCCCUUACCGGGGUUGCGGACAGUGUCUGGUGGGUAGUUUGACUGGGGCGGUCUCCUCCUAAAGAGUAACGGAGGAGCACGAAGGUUGGCUAAUCCUGGUCGGACAUCAGGAGGUUAGUGCAAUGGCAUAAGCCAGCUUGACUGCGAGCGUGACGGCGCGAGCAGGUGCGAAAGCAGGUCAUAGUGAUCCGGUGGUUCUGAAUGGAAGGGCCAUCGCUCAACGGAUAAAAGGUACUCCGGGGAUAACAGGCUGAUACCGCCCAAGAGUUCAUAUCGACGGCGGUGUUUGGCACCUCGAUGUCGGCUCAUCACAUCCUGGGGCUGAAGUAGGUCCCAAGGGUAUGGCUGUUCGCCAUUUAAAGUGGUACGCGAGCUGGGUUUAGAACGUCGUGAGACAGUUCGGUCCCUAUCUGCCGUGGGCGCUGGAGAACUGAGGGGGGCUGCUCCUAGUACGAGAGGACCGGAGUGGACGCAUCACUGGUGUUCGGGUUGUCAUGCCAAUGGCACUGCCCGGUAGCUAAAUGCGGAAGAGAUAAGUGCUGAAAGCAUCUAAGCACGAAACUUGCCCCGAGAUG
rnacentral:rRNA from 1 species